AAAGUCGUAACAAGGUCUCCGUUGGUGAACCAGCGGAGGGAUCAUUACAGAGUUGCAAAACUCCCGUAAACCAUUGUGAACGUUACCCGUAAACCGUUGCUUCGGCGGGCGUCCCUCCCCCUCCCCUCACCGGGCGGGGGUUGUGAGCCGCAGCACCGGGCCCCGCUCGCGGUGCGCCCGGGCCGCCGGACGGCACAAACUCUUGAAUUCUCCAGGCCUCUCUGAGUCUUUAUACUUAAUAAGUCAAAACUUUCAACAACGGAUCUCUUGGUUCUG
rnacentral:misc_RNA from 1 species